UACAGAGGGUGCAAGCGUUGUUCGGAAUUAUUGGGCGUAAAGCGCGUGUAGGCGGCUUGGCAAGUCGGGGUGUGAAAUCCCUCAGCUUAACUGAGGAAGUGCGCCCGAAACUGCCGAGCUUGAGUACCGGAGAGGGUGGCGGAAUUCCCCAAAGUAGAGGUGAAAUUCGUAGAUAUGGGGGAGGAACACCGGUGGCGAAGGCGGCCACCUGGACGGAUACUGACGCUGAGACGCGAAAGCGUGGGGGAGCAAACAGG
rnacentral:rRNA from 1 species